UACAGGGAGGAUGCAAGCGUUGUUCGGAAUUACUGGGCGUAAAGGGCUCGUAGGCGGCCAACUAAGUCAGACGUGAAAACCCGCGGCUCAACCGUGUGGUCUGCAGUCGAUACGGGCAGGCUAGAGUUCGGUAGGGGAGACUGGAAUUCCUGGUGUAGCGGUGAAAUGCGCAGAUAUCAGGAGGAACACCGGUGGCGAAGGCGGCCUGCUGGGCAGUGGGGGCAACCCCUGGAAGCUGACACUGAGGCGCGACAGCGUGGGGAGCAAACAGG
rnacentral:rRNA from 1 species